CUUGCUCACAUGUGCCAGCCUGGGCCUCCACCCUCACCACACCUACCCUCCUGCCUCCUCCUCGUCCAACAAGCCUGCGCCUGCAGUGCAAACACGCCGAGCUCACCCCACACAUGCACAUCCCCAUGCAAAACCCAACCGAACCGAGGGUGGAAGCUGUGGGAAAGAGGCGGGAAUGGAGAAGGUGGUUAACCAGAAAGAGAAAACAGGAAUCCAAGUUGGAAAAUUCAGUUCUCAAUGAACAUAAUGACCUUCAUAAUUUUCUUCUCUGUAGCAGAUAUUUUGAUGGCUAUUCCCAAGGACUUCACGUUUAUGCAAGAUAACUGGUCUGACAUUCCUGUGUUAUCAAAUCUCCCUUCAGACACUUCCAGAAUCUGGAGAGUGGUUGUGAGCUGAUAACACUGUAGGAGUGCUAGUACCAACAAUGACUUUGGAUCUUGGGGUCCUCGUACCCUCAUGAAAUAGCCCUGUUCACCUUGUAGAACUGUGUCUUCUCUCCUUGGAAAUGUUUAAUGUCUGGCUGUCACGGCCAGUUUUACUAUUUAGGACAUGCGCACAUACAUCAACCUUAGGCAGAGCAUUAAGAAGAGAGAAUCCUUGUCUCCAUCUUUUCCCUUUCACUUCCCAAUUCCCCAGGCAUCAAUGCCCCGAUUCCUUUCCCCAGGGUUUAUCUCAAAGCAUGAAGACCAGGCAUGCUGUGGUUGGGCCAGCCAGGAUGCCAUUUACUCCACCAGAGGGAAGAGUCAAUGCACUGAGGACAAUUCCUGUAACUUUUCAGCACCUGAGGGUGUCGGAGAAGAAUGUGGUGAGACCAUCCAUCCAUGCUUCUGUGUCUUAUCCUCCCUGGACAUGCCAUCCGUGGACUUCAAAUCCGUCUCCGUGGGAAGCAAGCCCCAGGUUGUGCGUCUAUCGCAAACCGCGUCUCCAUCUUUGCGAACCAAGCUCAGUUUACUUUCACGUAUACAAAUGGGGCUGCUGGCCAGAGGCCUCCCAGGGAUUUCAGCGCGUGUGCUACUGACAGCAAUUCUCUCUCUCACUGAUUUAGAACGUCCACCUUGGUAUGGCAUGCAUCUACUUCUUAACCUUUAUUUACUUUGAAUGUUGAUCCCAGCACACCAUUUGCAGAAAACACAAAGGUGUUUCAAAAGAGCUGACAGGACCUAGUGGCUUGACACCCAGGUCUCCUGUCUUACCGGUCAACUAAGAGUAGCAGCAAUGCAGCUGAUGGAAAUAUCACGCCCAUGAGAGUCAGACCAACUGGUUAAACUCUUGGCUCUGCCAUGUGGAAGCUGUGUGGCUUAGCACUGAUUUCUACUGGGAACAAGUUUCUACUCCAUUCCCACGCCACAGUCAGAGAGUUGAGGGGGCAAAUAGGUCUUUACCCGGAAGCCCUGGAAACCUGAUCGCACGGUUGGCUGUGUGCCACCUGGUGGUGGAAAGAGGUAAAGCAGCAUCCUGAGGACAGAGUUUUGGAGCAAGAGGGACUUUUUAAAAUGACUUUAAUCUUGCCCCCUUAUUUUCAAUGGAGGAAAUUCAGGCUUAGAGAGAAUGACCGGCUUGUCUGAGUUCUCACAGGGGUAGAGUGUUGUGGUUAAGAGCAAGCAUUCUGGCGUCGCUGUGUCUGAAUCCAGCCUUGGCAGUCAGGAGCUGGCAGUGUAACCUUGGGCAAGUUUUGUAACUUCUCAGUAAUCAGGUUUCUUAUCUAUGAAAUCAUGCUCGCCACCUCAAGGGUUUUUAAGAUGACUAAAUUAGACAAUGCGUGUAGAAGUGCUUAGAACUGUGCCUGACUUCGGUAAGAGAUAAAUCUCUUACAGCAAUUUAUCCAUCUUCAAUAAUUUUCCCUACAAUGGAGAACACUCUUGCGAUUUCUCAUUCUGACCUGAGAGUAGGAGAAUGAAGAAUCGUAAAGACCAUAGAAGAAAGCAGCAGCAGAUAUCUGGCUUUCGGAGGGAACAUUUGACUCUGGUCUUUGAGUAAAGGGAGAGUGGAAGCUGCCAUUGGAUGCCAUUGUGGCUCAAAUUCAUCACCGCAGAUUCAAUGCCUUGGGUACUCUAUCAAUAUUUGCUAAAUGAGUGAAGGGAAAGGGGCCUGAGCACAGGGCUUGUGGACAGGAGUGACUCUUGUCUCAGAAAAGAGAGAUAGGAAAGAGAACUCAGAGAAGUCUCAUUUGGCCCUGUCCACUUGUGGCCCCAAAGGCCAGCUGGGAACCACUGCAGCAGGAAUUUCUCUGGCUUCCUCUGUUCUUAUAGUAAUGACAUUUACAAAGCCCACUUACUUAAUGCUACAGAUACCGUAUUCUUUCAAUAAGUGUGGACACCUUCAUCCUGUCUGUGGCUGGUCUGGCAGUUCCAUUGAAAACAGGACAGGUGAACCCUGCCAGAAGCCAGGGAGACAGGAGGGAAGAAAGGAAAUGAAUACCUCCACCUCUUUCUCCUCCUUCUCUCUAAUCUACUAAUGGUGCCUCCCAUGGGUCUGACCCAAGUCAGAGCCAGGGGCCAAGGAGCCCAGGUGAUGCAGCCCAGAGCCGUCAGCCUGCCAGGCUGAGGAACAGCUCAGAACACGGAUCCGAGGGAGCAAUGGAGAAGAAUAUGCACAGCUCGUACAUAUGCAUAGGAAGUUUAAAUUUUUCUGUUAUUUAUAUAUUCAACAGUACCUCUCUCAAUUUGAAGAAGUUCUUUAUAACCUCAUCUUAUGGUAUUGUAUUUCCACUCGUGGUGAAAAAAAAAAAGGAUUUUUUUCCCUUUAUCCUUCCCCAAUCCCUUUGCUUAUUCUCCUCCAAGUUCUUGUUGUGGCUCACACCCAGUAUCCACUAUGAUGGUGGAUAUUAGGAACUUAGAUGGAAAUGGAUAGAGAAACAGACAAGUGCACUUUUCUAGAACAUUCCUCACCUUCCCCAACCUUCAGUUUGUUCUCAGGGGCCUGCCCAUGAUGCUGGUGCCUAUGCAGAGUCAAGGAGGGAAAGAUGGAAAGAGGGUGAAGUGGGAGACUCAUGGAGAAGGAAAAGGAGAGAAAGGCUCGAUGGUGUCCUGAUUUGCAGUAGGCACCAUAGCUAAGGUUCCUUCACUCUAUUUCUAUAGGCCCAUGGACCCACUCAUUGAAUCAAUUAAUAUUUAUUGAAUAUAUAAUUGGGCCAGACACCGUGCUAAGCACUGAUGAGCAAUGCACAGCCCUGCCUGUAGGGAUCUUAGAGUCUACUUAUAUUUCACUGGUGCUGACAGUGUACAGCAGUUCACACGUAUCACCCGAUACAGGAUGUGCCCGAGACAGGAUGGAGCCCUGAGGAGGGCACUGAAAAGUUAGGGGAGGCUUCCUGAGUUGACUCUUAGGAACCGAGUAUGGGGCCAAGAGAUGAACAGAUGAAGGGAGCGGAGGGAGGAGAGGACGCACUGGCAGAAGGGAGAUCUUGUGCAAAGGCACAAAACAGCCAGAAGAGUUUGAGGCUGUUCUGGGAGACUGGGGCAAAGCGUGUAGGAAGCCCGGAGAGGAGGCUCAGUUGAAGUAGGCAGGUCCCAGAGCACCUGAAGGAUACGGUAAGUACUUCGAUUUUAUUCUGAGGAGAACAGGAAGGCAUCAAAGAGUUCCUCUCAGAGAGUAACUUGGCAAACACCAGUGUUAAAAACAAUCAUGGCGGCCGUAGUGAGGAGGCUGAGUGGGGCUGAGAAAUGGGAGUAGAGGGCUCUUACAGUAAACUGGGCAACUGAUGGCAAAUCCUGACCUUAGCUGGCUGCAAUCAGAGACUGGGAAUAAGGGAUGACACAGUCCAUAAAGAGAGGGCGGAGAGAGACGGCAUCCAGGAACAUCAGCUUCAGUUUCUGCCUCAAGUAAUUUGUCUUUUCCGCUUACACAAAAUUACUCCGUGAAUUUUGCUCCCUGUUUCAGUUAAAUGCAACACGGAGAGGAGAGAAAACCCUUUCUAGAUAAACAUCUAUUCCUUACAGAACCCACAGUCUCUACUGUCUACUUUGUUUAUGAAUUUCUACUUGAUUAUCAGAGAGAUGUGACUCUGAUCACAUCAAGCCCUUGAGGGCUUGUUCUUGGCAACACUAAGUCCCGUGGAAACUCUUGCUGGAACAAUCCAGUGCUCCCAAGCUCCCAGGUUAGGGUGUGAUGUGUGUCUCUGCCCAGACGCCUUGAGUGCGGGCAGCAACGCAGACCAUUGCCUUCAGCAAGGCGAAGGGGAUCCUGGCUGUAUGGUUUUUACCAUUUUCCAUCUUUAAUUGGAUGACUUUCUUUUAAAAUUCUUCCAGUUCGUUGAUGUGGAACAGCUACAGUUAAAACAUGUUCCACAAACUGACUCAACAAGCUUACCUGGUUUAUCAUUGACUGGCUCCGUGUCAAACCCCUAAGUUUAUAUCUGUCCCCCGGAGACUGGACAUGGACUCCAUUUGUAGAAAAGAGCUAUUUUGGAAUGAAUGUUGCUGCUCCCCAUUUUCUUUGACAGCUUCUUCCCAAAUGUCAUGAGAAGCCUCAGGAGGACAGUUUGGGGUAAUCUGAAGUCCAUAUUCCCACCUGUAACCCGUGAGACUGAGUCAAGACCAGCUGACCUUUGAAGCAGAAAGAUCAUGUAUAAAUCUGAUUCUCCGUGACAUUUCGGCCCAGACCAGAGCCCACGAGAAAACUUCAGGCGCUACAGCUGCAGAGCUGUAACCCCUCUCCUGGUGGCACAGCACUUCUGCCACAGUGCUGGUCCCUAAGGGAAGAGGACCAUCAAGAGAAUAAGCCGCAGUCGACAGGGGGACGUUCUACAGCAUUGACAGUGGAGACCGUGCCAGGGGACGGCCAGAAACUGCAGGGAACAUGGGGCCAAGGUGGGCCCUCGAUGACUCUCUUCUGCCUCUGAGGCAAAGCCACUCAUACGAUGCCCAGCAGCAGGGGGCUGGCAUCCUUUGGGUCAGGGGUCCUCUCAGCAGCAGGCAGAGCCAUUCAGAGUUCAAUCUCCUAAAGACAUUCUGUUCCAGGUUCAAAUCUGGUUCUGCUACUCAUCAGCUGGGGGACCCAGGCAGGUGGCGUAAUCGCUUUGUGUCUCAGUUUCCUCAUCUAUAGGAUGGGGGUAUAUUAGUUUCUUGUGGCUGCUCUAACAGAUUUACAAUUUGUAUAGAAAAUUACCACCUACUCUGUAUGUGGUACCAGAAAUUUGUUCUUUCACAAUUCUGGAGACCAAAAGUCUGAAACGAGAGUCCCUCCAGAGCUCCAGAGGAGCCUGCUUUUGUGGGGGGACUGGAAUUGGCCACCCCAAGAUAUGUCUCUUUGGCAUGAGGAUUAUUUGGGGCUAAUUGCUUUGAUAAACUGGGACAGGGAAGGAGGCUCUGAGGGGUGGAACUUGCUUGCCCUUUGUUAGGACACAUUUACAUUGUAAAGGAAAUCUCUACCUGUAAAUGUGCCUCCCUCUCUGUACCAGGAAGAAGAAAGGGGAUGACCUUCUCUCUAGAAACUCUUAAUCAAUACCAAAGGCAAGGACUUAAAUCUGCAUUUGUUUAUUGUGCUUGUCUGGUAACCUCCUGUAACUGACUCCCCCCACCCCCAGCAUCCUCCUUUGUCUUUAGCUGGAUAUGAUAUUUGGGGUGGUGG
rnacentral:lncRNA from 1 species